rnacentral:antisense_RNA from 1 species
GCCAUGUGGGGCCUCUCCCGCUGCCAUCGCAGUCCCCGUCUCAUGAAGUGGAACCCGGCUUGGAGUCGAGCGCGACCCCUCGCCCGUGGGCGCAGGCGAUCGAGUAAGGGUGGGGCGGGCCUCAAACCCGGAUCAGAACCUGCCCUGACCGGCGCAGAGAUACGGGACGCAGCCGUGAGCACUGUUUUUUAUUUCACCAUGAACCCAUCGGCGUGGGGCGCCCGCCCGGGUGCCCUUCCUCCCCCGGGCAGCCAGAUGCUGGAACGGGAGGCACAUGUUCGGGCCCCGGCCCCUGGGAAGGAAAGAAAGGACCUUCCCGUUUCACUUGUCUCGGCUGAACAUGUAUCGGAGGAGGUCGACCACCCGGUGACUGUAGCCAUAUUCGUUGUCGUACCUGUGGAGGAGGGGUCGGGAGCUUCAAGGGAGUUCUUUCCGACCACCCCUUAGUUCCCCUCCCUCUAAGUCUCCAGCUCCUUCCCCCUUACCAUGAAAUGAGCUUCACGAAAUUGUCAUUGAGCGCAAUGCCGGCCUUAGCAUCGAAGAUGGACGAGUGGGUAUCACCGAGAAGGUCCGUAGAGACGACCUGGGAGUCAGAAUUUCAAAGAUAAGUGUGUCCGGCAGAGCAAGGACCUCCAGGAGCUGAGGCCCCGACUCUUAGCUCUAUCGACCAUCCGUGCAUUCAUCUAUAAUAUUUGAUGUAGCCCUACUGUGUCCAGUCUCUGGACUGGAGGGUAUGACCAAGGCACUGUGUCGGGGUCUGGCCAAAGGGCACAGGUCACAAACACCCUCAUGCUGUACCAGUACAUCCUUUUCCUAGGAAUAAUGCAAGCAUUUGGAAUGGGCCAGCAUGGAGAGCCUCUCUGAGGGGUGGCCAUGAGCCUGGGUCUAGAUGACUAGAAAGAUCUGACCGGCUGUGGCCCUCAGCACAGUGUCUGAGGUGGAAGGAGCUGCAGGAACGCAGGAGCUGAGGGUUUUAGCCGUAGUGUCAUGAAAGGCCACAGGAGUGUUUUCAAUCCUGAAAACGGGUGAUGCAAUGUGAUUCCAUUAAAACAAAAGAUCCCGGUGACUGUGGGAAAGUGGACCUGCAGGAGUUAAUGCAGGGAGACAGCACCAAGGUGGACGUACAGGGGUGUCCACCAUGACCAUGGCAUCCACUCCUCACAGAGAAGGCACCUGGCCAUGGCCUGGCCCUGAGCGAGUAUUGAAAAAAAUGGGAACUGUUGUCUUUUGUUCACUAAGCAUGUAUUAGUCACCUGCUGUAUGCCAGGCUGGAGCCACAAAAGUGAAAAUGCAGCCCCUAAAUCCCUGUUUUCUUGGAAUGCACACACCACUGGGGCCAACAGUGACUAUGGAAUGAAAUUUCAGGUGAGGAAUAGGGCCACAAAAAGAACAUCUUUUGAGGGGGUGCCUUGCUGAAGAGGGAGGUUGAAGUAGAGACUUGGAGGAAGUAAGGACAGACUGUAUGGUCACCUGGCAAGGGAAGCAUUUCAGACCAAAGGAACAGCAAGUGCAAAGGCCCUGAGGCAGGGAGAUCUCCCUUGCCACCUCCAAGAAACUCCCUUGCAGUUUCUGUCUUGGCACAUUGAGAGCAGCUCCCUGGCAAGUGGAAAUCAUGUCCCUCCCCAGAGGGCUCCUCCCAGGGCUCCUCUCCUCAGCCCCUACCUCAUCCUCGGUGUAGGCAAGGAUGCCAGCCAUGGGCCCCUUGGCUGCUGCUUUUACAGCCUCCUUGAUGGCUGAGUAGGGGGCAGGCUGGGCGAGGCGGCAGGUCAGGUCCACGACAGACACAUCUGGGGUUGGUACCCGGAACGCCAUCCCUGUCAGCUUCCUGGAGAAUCCCCCAUGAGGAACAGGAGUCAGAACUUAGGGACGUUGCCCUCCAUUCCCCCUUGCCCUGUGGCUGGGCCAGGCCCCUGCUUUCCUCUUAAGGACUGAGGGCCGGGCCAGUCCAGUCCUCCCGGGGUAUGCCCCCACCCUGGUUGCAGCUUCUUGUCCUCAUACCCUUUGAGCUCUGGGAUGACUUUGGUCACCGCUUUCGCAGCCCCAGUGGAGGCUGGGAUGAUGUUCUGGUGGGCACCCCGCCCAUCUCGCCAGGCCUUCCUUGAUGGCCCGUCCACCGUCUUCUGGGUAGCCGUGUAGGAAUGGACUGUGGUCUUGGGGAAGAGAAGGACCAAGAUGAGGCCUUCAUGCUCCUGAGCUCCCAUGCCUCUUUUUUCCAGGACUAAGGUGGUGGCCUAGGUGUGAAGGCUGGUGGGGCCACCACCACAGACCACAGGAGGGGACAUGUGCAGGCCGGGGUCCAGCCUUGCCUGAGGGUUGCGCAGUGUUUUAAAUGACUUCUGCACUAGUGGGCCUCUCCUCCCGAAACCAGUCUCUCCCUCUUAACUCCAUACAGUAAGCAAGGCCAGGGAAGAAGAGGUUGGGUUUCCCUGCCAUCCUUCCUGCCCCAGCCCCUCAUCCUCAACUCACCAUCAAGCCUUCCACGAUCCCAAAUCGCUCGUGGAUGACUUUGGCGAGGGGAGCCAAACAGUUGGUGGUGCAGGAUGCGUUGCUGAAACAGCCAAGGUGUGCACGGGCACUGUGAGGUGAGUCGCAGAGCCACCCCUCCACCCCUACCCCUCUUGGGGUAUGCACGCAGACUUGGUUUUAUGAAACGUCAGGAUGAGGGUGAGAGGGAUCUGUGGGGACACUGUCAGAGUGAAGGAGGCACUGAGGUGCAGCUGGGAAGUCUCCCCAAGCUUGUACUCUGGAAGUCAUGCAUUUUUAGCAGAUAGUUUCGGGAAGGAGAAGCAGAAGCCAAGUGACCAGGAAUCCAGUGGGGCUGAGGGUGGGGAGGACGAGUCUACCCUCCCUUCCACACAUUGCAGGAUGUCACUGCCCACAUUACCUCACAAUGUUCAUGGAGCCAGGGUUAUAGUCAUUUUCAUUCACACCCAUGACGAACGUUGGUGCGUCCGGUGAGGGCGCGGAGAUGACCACACGUUGAGCACCUGCUGAGAUGUGGUCCUGGGGAGGAAGCGCAGGUGUCAGGGGCUUCUGGCGCCAUCAUCUCCCCAGCUAGCCCUGGACACCUCUCCCUGGCUUACCGAAGCUGCCUCUAUGGAGAGGUACACGCCUGUGGACUCCACCACGUAGGGGCUCCCGACAGCCCUCCAGGGGAUCUGUUUGGGCUCCUUACUGUGGGGAAGUGGCAGGGCUGAGUCAGUCUCCCCUGCUUGAGCCCCACCUUCACAGUCCAUGGCUUUCACCAUUUGACAGGCUGAGCAGGUGCCAGCCCACCUGCAACCACCUGCGUCCACUACCCCACAUACCUACUUGCUCCAGAUGGGCUCCACCCCGCUGGCCUAGCUUUUCACCACUGCCCCACUUCAGACCACUUUCCCUUUGCUGAUUGCACCACCCCUGCUAUCCCUGGGUACAGGUGGUGACCUCCCCAACUCAGCCCUCAACCUCCUCGGAGGCGCCAACGCUGACUGCUGUCAGCUAGCCCGGACCCUUUCUCCAUAUGCUGCCCGGGACGUGGACUCUGUGACUGUGAGGCCUGCCCAGCUGCUUUCUACUUCCCAGCCCUGACAACCUCACCACGAACCCUCCUAGACCCUCAGCUCCUGCAAUAGGAAGCUGGCUGCCAAGGGCCAGGAGAGUCCCUGAAAACAGACAGUGCAUUAAAGAAAAAGCUCCUGGAGGACUCCUGAAGCCUGAGGCAGCCUUGGGGCAGCGGUGGCUCAUGGUUUACAUUACAAAGGUAAGGGAGGUUUUUGGUUUCCUGUUUUAUAAAUUUAUGUUUUUACUUGGUAUUUUGACAAACAUUUGUCAGCACAAAUGUAUUUGAAACACAUUAAACAUCUAGUAUUGCCGUUUCCUACUUGGCUUUAGCAAACAAGCAUUAAGUGAAUAAACUGUAUUCCACUUUCUUCCCAGGUU